GUUAUAGGAUCAAGCGACUAAGUGCAUAUGGUGGAUGCCUUGGCGAUCACAGGCGAUGAAGGACGUAGUAGCCUGCGAAAAGCUACGGGGAGCUGGCAAACAAGCUUUGAUCCGUAGAUGUCCGAAUGGGGAAACCCACCGCAGCAAUGCGGUAUCCCUGGCUGAAUACAUAGGCCAGUGGAAGCGAACCGGGUGAACUGAAACAUCUCAGUAGCUCGAGGAAAAGAAAUCAACCGAGAUUCCGAAAGUAGUGGCGAGCGAAAUCGGAAGAGCCUUUACGUUUUAGCACGCAAGAUAGUCGAACGGAAUGGAAAGUCCGGCCGUAGCAGGUGAUAGCCCUGUAGGCGAAAUCUUGUGUGUGGAACUAAGCGUAAGAAAAGUAGGGCGGGACACGUGAAAUCCUGUUUGAAGAUGGGGGGACCAUCCUCCAAGGCUAAAUACUCGUGAUCGACCGAUAGUGAACCAGUACCGUGAGGGAAAGGCGAAAAGAACCCCGGAAGGGGAGUGAAAUAGAUCCUGAAACCGUAUGCAUACAAACAGUAGGAGCCUCCUUGUGGGGUGACUGCGUACCUUUUGUAUAAUGGGUCAGCGACUUACAUUCAGUGGCAAGGUUAACCGAAUAGGGAAGCCGUAGCGAAAGCGAGUCCGAAUAGGGCGAUUCAGUCGCUGGGUGUAGACCCGAAACCAGAUGAUCUAUCCAUGGCCAGGUUGAAGGCACGGUAACACGUGCUGGAGGACCGAACCCACUAAUGUUGAAAAAUUAGGGGAUGAGCUGUGGAUAGGGGUGAAAGGCUAAACAAAUCUGGAAAUAGCUGGUUCUCUCCGAAAACUAUUUAGGUAGUGCCUCAAGUAUUACUGCGGGGGGUAGAGCACUGUUAUAGCUAGGGGGUCAUGGCGACUUACCAAACUAUGGCAAACUCCGAAUACCCGCAAGUACAGCUUGGGAGACAGAGCACCGGGUGCUAACGUCCGGACUCAAGAGGGAAACAACCCAGACCGCCAGCUAAGGUCCCAAAUUAUCGCUAAGUGGGAAACGAAGUGGGAAGGCAUAGACAGUCAGGAGGUUGGCUUAGAAGCAGCCAUCCUUUAAAGAAAGCGUAAUAGCUCACUGAUCGAGUCGUCCUGCGCGGAAGAUGUAACGGGGCUAAGCGAUAAACCGAAGCUGCGGGUGUGCACUUUGUGCACGCGGUAGGAGAGCGUUCUGUAAGCCUGCGAAGGUGGCUUGUAAAGGCUGCUGGAGGUAUCAGAAGUGCGAAUGCUGACAUGAGUAGCGAUAAAGGGGGUGAAAAGCCCCCUCGCCGUAAGUCCAAGGUUUCCUGCGCAACGUUCAUCGGCGCAGGGUGAGUCGGCCCCUAAGGCGAGGCAGAGAUGCGUAGCUGAUGGGAAGCUGGUUAAUAUUCCAGCACCGUCGUACAGUGCGAUGGGGGGACGGAUCGCGGAAGAUCAUCAGGGUGUUGGAUGUCCCUGUUGCUG
rnacentral:rRNA from 1 species